UUGAUGUCUCUAUGCUGGUCGUAUGCGGUUUCUAGUAUAGAGCUCCUAAAAUGCAGGUUGACUCGGCGGUCGCACUGUUCAUUCCCUGUAUGAAUAGAAUUAAUAGUGGUGUAAUGUUGAGGAAGUGGUUACGAUGGCAUCGAUCCUGCUAUGUGCGAGUGGGAGAUGUUGGCAUUCGGUUAAAUCGAAUCGGGUGCGCCCAUAAUCGGGCUCGAUCCGACGGAUAUUAUGUUAUCUAAUUGGAUUAGGAUUAAUCUCGCUUUCAAAUUGGAAAGCUAAUUAGAGAUAAAUUCUAAUCAUAUUAGGAUAACAAUUAAUAACCAAUUUGGCCUUAUCUAUUACGCUAUUAGGAUUUUGGAAUCCCUUAUAAAUAUACGGGCG
rnacentral:lncRNA from 1 species